GACGAACGCUGGCGGCGUGCUUAACACAUGCAAGUCGAACGGAAAGGCCCUGCUUUUGUGGGGUGCUCGAGUGGCGAACGGGUGAGUAACCCGUGAGUAACCUGCCCUUGACUUUGGGAUAACUUCAGGAAACUGGGGCUAAUACCGGAUAGGAGCUCCUGCUGCAUGGUGGGGGUUGGAAAGUUUCGGCGGUUGGGGAUGGACUCGCGGCUUAUCAGCUUGUUGGUGGGGUAGUGGCUUACCAAGGCUUUGACGGGUAGCCGGCCUGAGAGGGUGACCGGGCACAAUGGGACUGAGGGAGGGCCCAGACGGGUACGGGGGGCAGCAGGGGGGAAUAUUGCACAAUGGGCGGAAGCCUGAUGCGGCAACGCCGGGUGCGGGAUGACGGCCUUCGGGUGGUAAACCGCUUUCGCCUGUGACGAAGCGUGAGUGACGGUAAUGGGUAAAGAAGCACCGGCUAACUACGUG
rnacentral:rRNA from 1 species